rnacentral:tRNA from 1 species
GCAUUGAUGGUUCAGUGGUAGAAUUCUCGCCUGCCAUGCGGGAGGCUGGGUUCGAUUCCUGGCCAAUGCA